UAUAAAUUAUAAGUUAGAAUAAAGUCACUGAAUAAGUGUGAUAGAUAACCGUCAUGGUAAAUGGCCUUCUAGUGUAAAAUAUUGUUACAUCUUUCAGGUAUAACAUGAAUUUGAUGCCCUUUGUGUUUUCGUGUUUUCUGACUUUAAAGUCUAUCCAAGGACAUUAUUGGACCGGUUGGUAUGAUCGAGACAAUCCUUCUGAUUACGGGGAUCAUGAACAUAUUACAGAACAAAAGAAACUAGAUUACGUCUGUUGCGGAUGUAAACCCAUCGCGGCGGAGUGUCGCGUGAAGGGGUCAACCAGUACGUUCACUCGCUGGU